UCUCCGUUGGUGAACCAGCGGAGGGAUCAUUAUAGAGUUACCAAACUCCAAACCCAUGUGAACUUACCAGUUUGUUGCCUCGGCGGGCUACCCUGUAGACCGCCGGUGGACCAUUAAACUCUUGUUAUUCUAUGGAUAUCUGAGCGUCUUAUUUAAUAAGUUAAAACUUUCAACAACGGAUCUCUUGGUUCUGGCAUCGAUGAAGAACGCAGC
rnacentral:misc_RNA from 1 species